rnacentral:misc_RNA from 1 species
CAUGCUUGCAAGAAAAAUGGCGGCUAGUUGAUAGACAAGUGUCCACGAAAUCGUCGAUCAGAAAAAGACCGAAUACUUCAUGAUUUCCAAUAAUAUACAAUAGUGACUCUAAUCCGUAAUGGCUUUAUCAAGAGAAGAAGCGUACGAUAUAUUAGAAUUACCCGUUGGUGCUGAUCAAGACUCAGUUAGAACCAGUUAUAAGAGAUUGGCUUUAAAAUGGCAUCCAGAUAAACACAGUGGGAGCAGUUCAACCGAGGCUGUAAAAAAUUUCAAAAGUAUAAGUAAAGCAUACAAGAGAUUAUUAGGCGAGGAUGAGGACCACAUGCCCACCUCCAUGGAUCAGAUGCUGGCUCUGUUUAAAGAAGUUUUUUUCCCAAGAUCUGUCGGUAAUUCCUAUAAUAAUGGGUCUGGAUACGACACCUCAGACAGUGAAGAUGAUGAAGACUUUGAUGAUGAUAUACAGUAUUCAAACUUAUUCCCAGAUAAAUUUAAGUUGAAACAAGAAAUGAAAAAAGCCAAAACAGCAUCUGAGUUCAGUAACAAGCAUCUAACAGCAGAGGAAAUAAAUAAAAAUGCAGAAGAAUUAAUUACUGAAGAGGAGAAAGAAAAGAAAAAAGCAGAAAAAAGAAAAGCAAAGAAAAAGAGAAGAAGGGAGCGGAAACGUCAGGAAAAGGGAGAUAACCAUGUAAUAGAGGAGGACAAAAAAAUUAAACCAAAGUCAAAAGAAUCAGAAAAUUCUGAAAAGAGUAAAGGAAAAAAAAUUACAAGGGAUUCAGAUUCUUCGUCAGAUGAAGCUGGUUUUGAUCCUCAUUCAGCUUUUUUUACCAAAGUCGUCAAUAAGAAAAAGAAAUCUGGGGCACCACAAAGUUCUGAACACUCGUCAAAGAAAGACAAGAAAGGAGGAAGUGAAGAUGAUGCGGAGGACCUAGAUCCUGUAGUAUUACGCAGUCGACAGUUAGCAAUUAAAGGAAAUGAGAUGGCACAGCUAGGCCAUUACAAUGCAGCUAUAGAACUCUUCUCCGAGGCCAUCAAAUUAGACCCCAACGAUUUUAGAUUUUUUGGAAACCGAUCUUACUGUUAUGACAGAGAACAGCAAUAUGAUAGAGCAUUAAAGGAUGCUGAAAAAGCAAUACACCUAUCCAAAGAGUGGCCAAAAGGUUAUUUUAGGAAAGGACGGGCGUUAGCUGGCCUAAGGAUGUUUUCCGAGGCAGAAGAUGCUUUUACACAGGUUUUAAAAUUAGACAAAAAUUGUGAAGAUGCGGUGACGGAACUGCUGAGGGUGCGGACCCAUCAAAUUACUGACAUGGGGUUUUCACGACAGCAAGCAGAGGCCGCCAUCAAACUGCAUGGAACAGUACAGUCGGCAUUAGAUUCUCUACUAGCUGGAGUUGCGGAAAACGUUUUAGGAGGAGAAGUUUAUGUAUCAGAUGACGAUGAAGGUUUUACAAUAACAAACAAUAGAACAUCACAACCAAAAAAAUCAGACGCCAAGAUGGAUCACCACAAUCCAGAUGGACUGACGGCCCUGUGGGUUGGAAAUGUCCUUCCUGACAAAGUUGAUGACAAAAGACUUUUUAGAAUAUUUUCAAAGUAUGGAGCUGUGACUAGUGUACGGUGUCUUCCAGAAAAAUAUUGUGCUUUUAUAAAUUAUAAAACAAAGGAAGCAGCUGGCAAAGCCAUGCAACAUUUACAGGGUGCAGAAUGCGGAGGUCAGAAACUCCUUAUCAAGUUUCCCGACAAUCCUAUUGUUAAUGGGAGUGGCCACAUCACACUUAGAAAGCCCCACCAGAAGUCGUCUGGACCUGCCACCAUCACAAUAGGAUCGAGUCAAUGCAGAUAGCACAGAGCUGCGUCUGUACGGCCCUGAGCUGGAGAGUGUGCUAUCUGCAUUGGGGACACACACAAGUCGUCCACACCUUUGUCGUCUUCAUCCAA